rnacentral:misc_RNA from 1 species
AUAUAAAUCAACCUUCAACUUGUUUGAGUGGUUUGGAUGUGGGGGUUUGCUGGCCUUUCAAAAGGUUUCAGCUCCUCUGAAAUGCAUUAGCAGAACAAACCUUGUUCAUUGGUGUGAUAACUAUCUACGCUUAUGAAUGUGAGGGGCAGUUCAGCUUUCUAACUGUCCUUGGACAAUUCAUUGUUGU